rnacentral:rRNA from 1 species
UGGGGAAUUUUGGACAAUGGGGGAAACCCUGAUCCAGCCAUCCCGCGUGUGCGAUGAAGGCCUUCGGGUUGUAAAGCACUUUUGGCAGGAAAGAAACGUCAUGGGUUAAUACCCCGUGAAACUGACGGUACCUGCAGAAUAAGCACCGGCUAACUACGUGCCAGCAGCCGCGGUAAUACGUAGGGUGCAAGCGUUAAUCGGAAUUACUGGGCGUAAAGCGUGCGCAGGCGGUUCGGAAAGAAAGAUGUGAAAUCCCAGAGCUCAACUUUGGAACUGCAUUUUUAACUACCGGGAUAGAGUGUGUCAGAGGGAGGGAGAAUUCCGCGUGUAGCAGUGAAAUGCGUAGAUAUGCGGAGGAACACCGAUGGCGAAGGCAGCCUCCUGGGAUAACACUGACGCUCAUGCACGAAAGCGUGGGGAGCAAACAGG